rfam:Triticum aestivum genome assembly, contig: Triticum_aestivum_CS42_TGACv1_scaffold_265734_3DL
CUUGUACUCCCUCCGUCCGAAAAUACUUGUCAUUGAAAUGGAUGUAUCUAGAUGUAUUUUAGUUCUAGACACAUCCAUUUUGAUGACAAGUAAUUCCGGACGAAGGGAGUACUUG